rnacentral:lncRNA from 1 species
AGGAGUAGAGUUUUCUUUCGAGUCAAGGGGAUAGGAUAGGACGAUGAGAGCUUUCCAUUGGCUUCCCAGGGAAAGACUCUAGAUGUAUGAAUGGGCAGACAAAGGGAUUGCCUUCUAUCAUUUAGCUCAGACUUCUCUCUCCUGACCCGGGGCCCCCAACCAAAGGGGAAUUAAGUAGAUUAGCCUCCUCAUCAAUCAAACA